rnacentral:rRNA from 1 species
GGAGGGUGCAAGCGUUAAUCGGAAUUACUGGGCGUAAAGCGUGCGUAGGCGGUUUAUUAAGUCAGAUGUGAAAGCCCCGGGCUUAACCUGGGAACUGCAUUUGAAACUGGUCAACUAGAGUAUGGUAGAGGAAAGUGGAAUUUCUGGUGUAGCGGUGAAAUGCGUAGAUAUCAGAAGGAACAUCAAUGGCGAAGGCAGCUUUCUGGACCAAUACUGACGCUGAGGUACGAAAGCGUGGGUAGCAAACAGGAUUAGAUACCCUGGUAGUCCACGCCGUAAACGAUGAUAACUAGCCGUUGGGGGGAUUUACCCUUUAGUGGCGAAGCUAACGCGUUAAGUUAUCCGCCUGGGGAGUACGGCCGCAAGGCUAAAACUCAAAGGAAUUGACGGGGACCCGCACAAGCGGUGGAGCAUGUGGUUUAAUUCGAUGCAACGCGAAGAACCUUACCUGGUCUUGACAUCCUGCGAACUUUCUAGAAAUAGAUUGGUGCCUUCGGGAACGCAGUGACAGGUGCUGCAUGGCUGUCGUCAGCUCGUGUCGUGAGAUGUUGGGUUAAGUCCCGUAACGAGCGCAACCCCUAUCCUUAUUUGCCAGCACAUUAUGGUGGGAACUAUAAGGAGACUGCCGGUGAUAAACCGGAGGAAGGCGGGGACGACGUCAAGUCAUCAUGGCCCUUACGACCAGGGCUACACACGUGCUACAAUGGGAAGGACAAAGAGCCGCGAAGCCGCGAGGUGUAGCUAAUCUCAUAAAUCUUUUCGUAGUCCGGAUUGGAGUCUGCAACUCGACUCCAUGAAGUCGGAAUCGCUAGUAAUCGUAGAUCAGAAUGCUACGGUGAAUACGUUCCCGGGUCUU